GCGAGCUGCUUGCUCUUCUUCAGAUGGAAGGCAGCUUUUGGAAUCAUCUAUGUGGAUCUUAAGAAGGUCGGUUUCGACGGCCUUUCUUUUCACGCUAAAUUCCCCAUCAGGAAUCCUUACUCUGUUUCUAUUCCAUCAUGUAGAUCGAUUACUCGCUCGAAAGCGCCUUAAGGUGAACGAGGCCCAACUCCCUUUCAUUUAUGUCCAAGGCCUUUUGCUACCACCAGCAUCAAUACAUAUGGAUAGAGGUCAGAGUAGUUGAAGCAGACAAAAAAGGUAACAAUGUAGGAUUAAGGAGAUCUAUGCUGACAAGCUUCUAAAGAAUGAACACCUGAUUAAAAUCACCGAUGUGAUACAGAACAGCAGCAAGAACUCUAUAAGCUCCAGGUUUCAUUUGAUGCGGACCACAUACUGCAAGCAGCUUGGGAAGAGCCUGAUUGCACCACAAAAAUUUGCAGCAUUAGUCAUAUGGUUUACAAAAAUAUAUACUAUGAUUCCUCACCUCACCAGGCUUUCGCUUAAUUUUUUUCUUCUAAUUCAAAUCUUUUCUAGGUAUAUCCAAGACAAACAGAACGAUGAAUAUUAAACUGAUUGACCAAAAGGGGCUGCUAUGGGGUUCCACCUCAAAGACCGUACUUUUACUAUAUGUGUUAUUGGUUUUCCAUCCGCUUCAAAACUCCAUGGCUUCUUAUCUUUUAUUUAUCCUUUUUUUAUACUAGGAGAUAUUAUUUUCCGAAUUCUCCUUUAUUCAUACUCAUUAAAUUUUUUUCUACUUCCCUGGUGUCUUUGUGUCUACUAUUCUGCAGCGAGCUGCUUCCUCUUCUGCACAUGGAAGGCUGCUUUUGGAAUCAUCCGAAACAUCUGUGGAUAAGGGUAAACUUGAAGAUGCUAUAAGCUAUGGGACUUAGGCUCUUGAGAAGCUGUUUGCAGUAUUUGGUCCAUACAAUCGAAUGAAUGUUGGAGCUUAUGCGUUCCUAGAAAGAAAGCGGUUUUGAUUGGUUUACAUUACAGCCAUACUACAAAGGAGCUCCAUGGAUGUAGGUUGGAUGUUCAGACGAUUCAACGUUUUUUGAUCAAGACGUGCCACUUCCUUCCAUCGUCAAUUCUUAUGCUCACUGGACCGGAGAUUACAAAUGGGAGGAGCAGCGUGGACCUUCUGGCAUCUGGAAGGGCACUAUUCGCGGGGAAGUAAUUUGCUUUAGUGCCUGUGAUAGAGAUCAACUAGCUUUUGAAGACUUUGAUGGAAUUCAUUGUAACGGUUGUAUGAUCCAACCUUUUUAUCCGUGCUCUUCAACACGGGCACAAGGUACCUGGUGACAUUUUACUCUUCAUGCGCCACUCCAUUGAAAGGAGUAGGCCUGACCGAUUCUGCUAUUUGUUAAAAACUGGUCGCCAAUAUCGCGGAUAUCUAUUUGCCCAGGAGCCUCAACUUACGGCCAGUAAUCCGUUUGACAUUUAAAGGUGAGGAGUUCUAUAUGUGACCAGAUUUGAGCAUUUGGGGCAACCUCAACAAUUUGGUAAAAGCUUUUUAGGGAGUAGGCUGAAAUUUAAAUUGCACAAACCUUUUCCUUUCCAAUAUUUUUGAAGUUUAAUGUCAUAUGUUUGUUUGGUUUGAACUUAUCACUUAGAAUCUUUUUAUAAUUUUAUGUGUUUGUUUAGUUUAAAUCAUGACUAGCCUUUUUUUUCUUCUGUUAUGAUGACGUUUUGAAAGGAAUUACUAUUUGCUUA